GUCGUCUGCUAGCUCCAAAUGCAUCGACGGGGCCGCGCUUUCCUCGGAAUGCGGAGUGGAAUGGGAAUUGUAACCUGUUUCCUUUUGUUCCUGUUUACUGUUUUUGAAACGUAAGUACACCGGGAUAAGGCCACAUUUGAGCAGUUCCUGCGGUCGUCACGACUUUUUGUGAAAGGUGUCACAGUAAUGUAAGGGACCACGGCUGCUCCGUGAAACUGGCACAAGCGAGGGAUUAUCUCAUUUGAUUUACUGGUGUUAUGCGAGGAUAAAAAAGAAAUAAUAAACCUAUACAAAAUGAGGAAAAGAAACGCUGCGGAACACGGGACCUCAGUAACGCGUUGGUGCCCCUCCACUCUCAAUCACUGCGCUCAUUCGCCUGGGCAGGGAAGCGUAGAGGGCGGAACAACACAUUAGGAACAAUCGAGAAAGUGUUGAUAAGCUUAUCAACAUUUUCUCGAUUGAACAAUCCGAUGUGUUAUUCUUGAGGUCCAUUCAUUGGUCCAUGCAUUCGCACUCCGCAUUCCGAGGAAAGCGCUGCCCCGUCGACGCAUUUGGAGCUAGCAGACGAUGCGUGGUUAUCGGAUCGCCAUCUCUCCCGUCUGGUGGCGCUACGCAGGCCCGCCGCCACCAGGGGAACGGAAGUGAGGCGAAGGCGACGGUAGCACAGCAACUUGGUUGGUAACCCGCUUUUACGGGGGCUGGAGAUAUCAAACAAGUAUGUCGCAAGCAGUACGUGUUCGGGCGAUCGUCACCCAAAUUUCUGUAUCCUGUAUUUGUGUACCCUCCGUUGCAUUGGAGAGGGGGAGGUAAAAAAUCUGAAUGUCCGCAAUAUGAAAUGUUAUCAUAUUUCAUAUCUUCUUCAUUUCAUAUAAUCAGGCUGCAGUAAAUCAUGCCAACAAGAUCCAGUCCUCUGCUGACAAUUCUAAUGCGGUUAUUACCGACCCGGCAACUGCUAGUAUAAUAUGACAACGUUCCAGCUGUGUUCCUCAUCCCAUAAUGUUCAUGUUUCAUGUAGUUGUUGUUGUUGCUGUUCCAGUUGUGUUCUAAAAGCAGUUUAGUCAUUACUUAACAGGCGUAUUUCAUAAACGAUAUUUUCCCAGAAGGUAUCGUUCCAAUCGAGCUGAAUUAUCCCUGUGCAUUAAAAAGGGUGAUAAACUAUUCAUUUCAAAUUACAGGCCUAUAUAAAGCGGUACACUCACCGCUGCGCAAAAUACUUGGAAUGAUACUUCUGCACACGCUUAUGGUCAAAUGAUCCAACGAGUCAAAUGUUCCAACAGGUCAUAAGCUCCAAAAAGUCACGUGACAGGCGAGUCAAAAGCUCCAAAGCGUCAAAUGCUCCAACCGCGUCAAAAGAUCCACACGGGUUCCGUAUUGUUCAAUAUUAUCUCGUCCUCUGAGCGUCAAAUGCUCCAACCGCGUCAAAAGAUCCACACGGGUUCCGUAUUAUUCAAUAUUAUCUCGUCCUCUAACCAACUUUCUAGCGAUGCCUUGUACCAGAAAGUUUUUUUUUUUUUUUUUCGAAGAACAACAUCCAGUGAAACUCAAGUCGAAAGGGUAACGUACUCUUCAGUGUUUUCGUGUCCCCUGCCAUGUAUGUAAACGUGUUAACCUUGGACAUGGUCAAUGACCGUAACCCCUGAACGACAGGAAUGGGCUUAUUCUGGGAAGCAGGACGUCGUGUGCAAACUUGGAGUUGAAGUCAGUAAUACCGUAUUGUUCAAUAUUAUCAUGACCCCUGAAAGACAGGAAUGGGCUUAUUCUGGGAAGCAGGACGUCGUGUGCAAACUUGGGGUUGAACGAAGGGGUAUAAAACCUGGACUGGGCGGUCCGAAAACAUUCGGGAGCAGAGGUCAUCUUCACGGUUCUCGCUGUCCGAACUGCAAGCAUACAUCCACCUUGAUUGCCUGGUUGAAUGGACCUCGACUUCGGUGCCCCGACUUUUGUCCCAUCCAGUUAUCGCUCGAAGCAUCAAGUGAUUCAGUACCGAAGCAAACGAUGGCCAAAUGCAGUGUUAGAGUUUGCAUUCAAAUCUACAAACAAGAAGGACCCCAGUAUCCAGUACUACAGAUGCACGAGCUGUUAUCGCCUGAGCAGGUUGGCGAGGGGAACCAACGAAACCUGGUCUGUUGCCCACGUCACGCUGCAAAACGGCGUCAUGAGGACAGACCCGGAUCAUCCAUCGACACCGCACAGCUGUGACCCCGCCGAGGAUGCAGAGGCGGCCACAGUCCUUUCCAGGCGUUACAUGUAUGAAGUCCGAACAGACGUACGGACCAGCAGAAAGAGACCUCGGCAGGCAUUCGACGAAGCAGUGUCUGCUGUACAGGUCAGGUUUCAAGAUGACGACGCGAGUCUUCAAAAUGACAUCAAACGCCAGAUGAGCACCAGCUACGGUUUUGCCUCCAAAAGACGUGCGUUGUCGCGCAAUCGACACGCAAACAUUCCGAAGGGAAACUCCAUUGACGCCAUACUUCCGGAGCUGCGAAUUACGAAGGAUGGCCAGCAAUUUCUUCAACUGGAAGACAAGCGGCCCUGGCGUUUUCUCGGAAAAAGUCGUCACCUGGUCCGGACUUGGUCACCUAUGCUGCGCUCCGUAACCUGAAUGACACCUGCCUUCUGGUCCUCUUAGAGAUCUACAAUAAAUCAUGGAGGGAUGGACAAGUCCCUGCUCAGUGGAAGGAGGCCCUAGUGGUUCCCAUACUGAAACCUGGAAAACACCCCUUGGACCUGGCGUCUUUUCGGCCUGUCAGCCUUACCAGCUGCCUAGGGAAAGUUCUGGAGCGCAUGGUGCUGCACAGGCUCGAGUGGUGGCUCGAGAGGAGAUGUGUUUUCCCCCAGGAAAUGUCAGGCUUCCGUAGGCAUCGUAGUUCAAUGGAUUCGGUGAUGGAUUUGGUCUCUACUGUUGAGGAAGCGAAAGCCCGGAGGCAAAUCGUGAUGGCUGUCUUCCUGGACGUCAAGCGGGCGUAUGACACCGUAAGUCACCCCGGUGUUCUGCAUGCGUUACUUCGGUCGCAAGUGCCUGGGAAAGCGCUUGCAUGGCUUUCCGACUUCCUGAGCCAAAGGCAAAUUUUUGUCAGAACAGGCGAGGGUGACACAGAAAAGACUGCUGUUCCGCAGGGUGUCCCGCAAGGAAGUGUCCUAAGCCCGUUACUAUUCAAUAUCGUCAUGGUUGAUCUCAAAGAAUGUCUACCGAGGAGAGUAAAUCUCUCCAUAUAUGCGGACGAUGUGUGUAUCUGGACUGUUGGAAAAUCCCGGCCGGCAAUUCAACAUCGGUUGCAAAGAGCACUGGAUGCCAUCAACAACUUCUUCUUGAACGCGGGGAUGGAUAUCUCCACCGAAAAAAGCGCUGUCCUUCCGUUUACUCGAAGAGAGAUGCGGAGGUUCCAACUGCGGAUUGGGGAUUGCCCCCUCAUACAAGUCAAGUUUCACAGGUUCCUGGGUGUUAUCCUGGACCGCAACCUGUCGUGGCGAAGGCACAUUGACUUCAUCAUCUCAAAGGCUCAGCGCUGGGGGAAUGUGAUUCGCCACUUUGCCGGCGUGCGCUGGGGCUGCACUGAGCGGGAUCUUCUUGUGCUCCACAAAACUCUGGUUCGCGGCUCCCUGCUAUACAGCUUGCCCGUAUUGCACGGUAUAUCAGCCACGUCUGAGCACAAGCUUCGGUGUACACUGGCACGCAGCCUGCGGACGUGCCUUGGUGUCCCGCGCAGCGCUGAGACACGGAUGGUGAUCGCCGACGCCGGGGAAAUACCCAUCGAUGUCCUCCGCCGAAGAGAAACCAUCCGACACUACCUACGGUUGCUCGCUCACCACCGGCGUCAUCCUCUGGUUCAAAAGCUACGUAGGCGGAAGAACAGUAAACUCUCGCUAUGUGUUACAGCAACAUCUGGAAACAUCCCUGACUUCACUGUUGCCCCGACCGCCCCUUCAGUGGCACCAUGGACACUGCCGAGCCCAUCCCUCUCGACAAACAUCCCUGGCCUCCUGGGGCCGAAGAGCCAGAUCCCCGUUUCGGUUCUCAAGCAGUCUACUUUGGAAAUGAUGGAUACAAACUACAGAGGCCGCACGGCUGUGUUCACAGAUGGUUCGUCUACGUCGGAUGGCUCCUCCGCUGCCUUUGUCAUACCGGAGGAGUCACUAUCAUGUGGGUUCCGCCUGUCACAUCGCACUUCGUCGACCUCUGCGGAGCUGUAUGCCAUCUUGUUAUCUCUAAAGUCUGUCUCAAAGUACCCUCCCCGUUCCUGGGUGAUAUACACCGACUCAAAAUCAGCCCUGCAAUGUGUAGGAACCAUGGGCAUCCGUGGCUCGUUGGCCCCGGUGGUUGUUAGUAUCCUGACGGCGCUCAGGGUUCUCGGCGAACAGGGACACCGGGUGACCCUACAGUGGGUCCCCGGCCACACCGGCAUUCAGGGCAACGAAGAGGCAGAUUUGGCGGCUGCUGCGGCCCACCGUAUCUCCAGAGCCCUGCCCAUUAUCCUCUCCAACGGGGAUAGGCGCUCCUACUUGUCUGCGUUGGUGUCACCCUUGGCCCGCCAGCAAUGGCUGCAUGACAUCACUCAAUGGUCGCUCCUCCAUGCAGUGGACCCGUCAUUAUCAUUUAGGAUGCCAGGUGGCUUCCCUCGCAGCUUUACGACACUCCUGCGGCGUCUACGACUCAACGUCGCCUUCACCCCUGCGUUCCGUGCUAAGCUGGGUUACAGUAACACGGCGCUGUGCCUAGCUUGCCGCACCCCAGCUACGAUCCCCCAUAUCAUCGAGGACUGUGAGCGGUACACGUGUGAACGCCGGGUACUUCGACGCCAACUUGAACUCCUCGACCAUAGACCAUUCAGCUUGUCCAAAGUACUUGGCCCAUGGAGCUCCCCUGAACAUCAGUGCCGGGCUCUUCGCUCCCUUUUCGUUUUCAUGCAGGCCACUGGACUCCUUGAAGAGCUCUAAACAGAACUCCGACCUGUCGUUGCUUCAUUCUCACCAUAAUUCAUCCUCUCAUAUUAACCACUGUGAAAUGGGGUAGUGUCCUGUGGCUACCACGGGGAAACAUCCCAUGUCAUCAUCACUUCUUCAUUUAUUGUUGUUGUUGUUGUUGGAAGACAAGACUGAAGGGAGGAGACUGCUCGUAUUUUACGCCGAGAAGGACCUGGACGCCUUCGCAAACACGGAGUACAUCCUGGGGGAUGGCAACUUCAAGUAUAAUCCAUCCGAAUUUCACAGCCCUGGACAGCUGUACACAAUACAUGCAAUUGUCAAAGGCGAAGCGCACCCCAUAGUGUACGCAUUGAUGCAGGCAACAGAUGUGAGAGCGUACCAAGCGGUGUUCCACACCUUGAAGGAGUCCAUGGUGCGACGAUUUGGUCACGUCGGGAGCCUAUCCACUACGGCGACCUGGCUAUUUGACUAUGAGUCUGCAGCAAUACGGGCAGCACUCAAUGUGUUCCAGACAGCGACGGGUGAACCCAACGUGCGAGGCUGCGCCUUUCACUAUGCCAAGGCCAUCAACAAGAAGCGAGACGAGCUCGGUCUGAAGGUGUUGUGCAGAGAGAACGCCGAAGUCAACCGAUGGUUUGUUCGAGUGAGGCAUCUGCCGUUCGUUCCUGACGACUUCCGCCUGGCCUUCGCCGACGACAUCCUUUCUGUGAAGCCGGACCUGCCUCCACUACAUGCGGCGCGUCUGGCGCUGUUUGACCGGUACUACCGAGCGUACUGGCUCACGAACAGCCUGCUGAAGGACCGCUGGGGACAAUUUGGGAACCGAGGACCGAGGACCACAAACCACGUAGAAGGCUGGCACAAUGGCCUGCACAGUCGGUUCACGUGUCGUCACCCAAACCUGGCCGAGUUCCUGCGAGUCAGUCAGCACGCCGUGCAAAACAGAGUCCAGGCCCUUCUGUUGGACCCGUUGGCAGUGCCAACCCCGACGUCAGCUGCAGUACGGGAGAGAAACGCGAGCCUAUUGCAAGAAAUGGACUCCUUCUCGUGGUACUUGAGCACAAGUCCGGUAUCUUUUAUGGACCUGACCACGUACCUAGACAGAAUCGCCUUGGUUGGUGUCCUGCCGUCGGAAAGUUAGCGUCCGCACAUUUUGUAUCUAAUGUAAAUAUUGUUAUAUUCCAAUUAAAUAGUUGCUUUCA